GUCACGAGGCUGAAAGAAGAGGUAGUGUGUGGAGGUUGUGGAAUUGCUGCCAGGUGGCCCUUUGGCUCAGGAGGAUUCUGAAAGCUGUGCAAAUCGUUAGAGAACACUUCAGGAACCCCAUACUACAGUGUUCUGCUGACUAUAUUCCAGCUUUAAGAAAGCCUGGGAAUAUGUUGCCUUCAGAGUCUGACAUUGUGCCAAUCAGUUAAAGAAUUAAUGAGUCUGAUGAUUCAGAGCAAACUAUGGCCCACAACCCAGUUCUGGUCUGAAGACUGGUUCUCUAUGGCCCAAGAAGAAAGUUUACAUUGCUGUUUUUAUUGUGGUAAAAUAUACAUAACAUAAACGUACCAUUUUAACUUUUCGUAAGUGUGCAAUUCAGUGACUUAAGUACAUUCAUAUUGUGCAGCUGUCACCACUAUCCAGCUCUGGAACUUUUUCAUCAUCCCAGACUGAAUCUCUAUACUCAGUAAACACUAACUCUCCACUCCCCUUUCCUCCCAGCCCCUAGUAACCUCUAUUCUACUUUCUUCCUCUGAAUUUGACUAUUCUAGAUACUUUAUGUAAGUGGGGUCAUACAAUAUUUGUUCUUUUGUAUCUGGCUUAUUUCACGUGUUUUCAGGGUUCAUCCGUGUUGUAGCAUUCUCAGGAUUUCCUUCAUUUUAAAGGCUGAAUGAUGUUCCAUUGUAUGUAUAAACCACGUUUUGUUUUUCCAUUCAUCUUGUGGAUAGACAGUUGGGUUCUUUCCAUCUUUUGCCUAUUUCAGAUAAUGCUACUGUGAAUAUUAGUUUCUACCUUUUGCUCAUUGUGAAUUAUGCUUCCGUGAACAUUGUUCUGUGAUCCUGGAGGAUGAGGUAUGGUUGUGAUCUUCCAUUACUUUUGACCUUGACCAGGGAACCCUCCUUCCUAUGCCCUAGUGGUGUCCAGUGCUGCUUAAUACAUUGGGAUACAGGGGAAGUGGAGGGUUGUUAAUUCAGCAGGGACAGAGUUUCAGUUUUGCAAGAUGUAGGGAGACCUGGGUAUUGGUUGACAACAAGUGAAUUUACUCCUUUUUAUUUGGCUUUUACAUUUUUAGAGUGGUAAAAAAAUUCAAAGAAUAUUUAAAAAUAUUCACUAUCUUGUCUUUUACAGAAAAAGUCUGCCAAUCCCUAAUUUAGAAUAAAUUUAAAAAAUUUUAUAAAGGGCUAUUAUGAAGUUGCUAAAUGAAUCUCAAUGUAAUGUUCCCUCAUUUCUUCAGUAGGAACGUAUUUAAAUUUCAGCAGACUUUCUCACACUAAGUAUUUGGAGAACUCUAGCGGUUCAGUCCCCAAACCAAUGAAAAUUUGUUUUGUUUUAUUAGGAUUCACUGAUUUAAAAGCAAGAUACAUCCAUUUAAAAGGGAUCCUGUAGUCAAUUCAGAGUAAAUAGGGCACAAUAGUUCUUUUCUUUAGAGUCAGGAUCACAUGUGAGGAAGGGCCCUGCCAUGUAUAAUUACGUAUGCAGAAAUUGGAGAUGCUGUCAU